rnacentral:rRNA from 1 species
GCAAGUCGAACGCUCACCUUCGGGUGGGAGUGGCAGACGGGUGAGUAACACGUGGGAACGUACCCUUUGGUUCGGGACAACUCUGGGAAACUGGAGCUAAUACCGGAUACGCCCUUUUGGGGAAAGGUUUACUGCCGAAGGAUCGGCCCGCGUCUGAUUAGCUAGUUGGUGGGGUAACGGCCUACCAAGGCGACGAUCAGUAGCUGGUCUGAGAGGAUGAUCAGCCACACUGGGACUGAGACACGGCCCAGACUCCUACGGGAGGCAGCAGUGGGGAAUAUUGGACAAUGGGCGCAAGCCUGAUCCAGCCAUGCCGCGUGAGUGAUGAAGGCCUUAGGGUUGUAAAGCUCUUUUAUCCGGGACGAUAAUGACGGUACCGGAGGAAUAAGCCCCGGCUAACUUCGUGCCAGCAGCCGCGGUAAUACGAAGGGGGCUAGCGUUGCUCGGAAUCACUGGGCGUAAAGGGCGCGUAGGCGGCGUUUUAAGUCGGGGGUGAAAGCCUGUGGCUCAACCACAGAAUGGCCUUCGAUACUGGGACGCUUGAGUCUGGUAGAGGUUGGUGGAACUGCGAGU